rnacentral:rRNA from 1 species
UACGGGGGGGGCAAGCGUUGUUCGGAAUUACUGGGCGUAAAGGGUGCGUAGGCGGCUUUCUAAGUUGGAUGUGAAAACUCUGGGCUCAACCCAGAGCCUGCAUCCAAAACUGGAGAGCUUGGGUACUGGAGGGGAAAGCGGAAUUCCUGGUGUAGCGGUGAAAUGCGUAGAUAUUGCUCGGAAGGCCAGAGGCGAAGGCGGGUAACUGGCACGCAACUGACACUGAGGCACGAAAGCGUGGGGAGCAAACAGG